rnacentral:lncRNA from 1 species
CAGGCACAUGGAGUGUACUCCCUGCUAUGCAAAUCUUUGUGGGCUGCAUCUGGAACUCAGUUCAGAGGAGAAAACAAGGUCUUAUAUCCCAGCAUUCUGACAGUGCUCAACAGGCAGCCAGAUGACUUUGGGGUAGGUCAUCAGAGGCCAUGAAGGCAGCAACUCCUCAUCUUGACUGUCCCCAAGACACGUGGUAUUUGGCUCCUCCUCUCUGAGAGACACAUCCCCCAGUGGGCAUUGUGUUGGUUGUUAAACAUUUAUAGAAGAAUUAGUACCUGGAUUUGAUUGUUUUCAUGCUACCUCCCCAUAUACCGCCACAAUCAUGUCUUUUAGAUUGGAUUAGAUUGUUAUAUUGGAAGUCUGCAAGCAAGGACUGUGUUGUUUUUAAUCUUGGUAAAGAGCCUUCAGAAAUUUUCACGGCAAUCAUCAUCAAGUAUUUAGACUAAACUGCUUCUGAAGUUCCACUUAGGUUUAACAGCUAAUAAACAUUGACAGAUCUAUCAUCCAGGUGUAUCCACAGGUUCCGGACUUAUUACUAGAGUCUAUUUUCAGCAACAGUCCUGUGCUUCAGUUAUUAAACUGAAUGCUAAUGAUAAUACUGCAGACACCAUCUUUAAGAAGGCAAAAGGGAUGCAAACAGCUGAGUCACUGAAUAUCUCCAAGCAGAGCUCUGUUCAACAUUCGGGUUCUUUGUGGUGCUUGCUUUCAUUCUGAGGUGAGAAUUAUAUGACACUCAACAGUUUGGCUCACAUUGUAAUCUGAGCCACAGAAGAACUCCAUCCUACUCACCACCAACUAAUUUACUAAUUUAUUCACUCAACCCUUGACCCUUUCUUCACAUGAGAUGAGCCUGCAGACCCAUCUAGUCUGGCAUUCUGUUCCCAAAGUGGCCAUAUACAAUAUACCUGUGGGAAAGUGGCAAGCUGAACCCAAGUACAAGAGCAUUUUCCUUUCCAGAGGAUUCUAGCAAUUGCUAUUCAGAAGCAUUACUGCCUCUGACCAUGGAGCCAGAGCACAGCCACUGUGGCUACGAGCCAUUGAAAGCCUUGUCUUCCAUGAAUUUGUCCAGUCCUCUUCUAAAGCUACCCAAGUUGGUGGCCAUCACUGCCUCAUGGGAGCAAGUUCCAUAGUUUAACAAUGUGCUGUGUGUGAAGACAUACUUACUUUUAUCCAUGCAGAAUCACCCAGAGCUCCACUUCACUAUUAACCUUAUGGAACUGCAGUGUCUGUGGUUGUGGAGAGCAAGCAAGUAAGCCUUUCCCUCCAUCCCUGGCAGAUAGGUCACCGGUGAACUAACUCAGGUGGCAGGGAGAGAGGGAGGGACGCUGCCUCUGUUUCCAUCUCAGCAUCAACCAUCCAGGAAAGGGAAAGGGAGAGAGUUCUUCUGGUGCUGCUACUGCUACUAGUGUUACAGACAAACAGCCAGGUAAGAUGGUUUCAGAGGUGGGUGGUCAAUGAUAGCGAUUAAUAGGAGAAUUUGAAGAAAGGAAUCAGACCCUGUCAUGCCAUUCUUUCAAUGGAGUGGAGCUUGAAAAGGGAUUGUAACUAGACUGAGGGGGGGGGACACCUAGUUAUUUUCUGAUGUUUAGAGUAGAGAUGAGGAAGCUAUGGCCUUCCAGAUGUUUCUGGACUCCAACUCCUAUCAGUCCCAGUAAGCAUGGCCCACGAUCAGGGAUGAUGGGAGUUGUAUUCCAGAAACACCUGGAAGGCCAAAGAUUCUUCAUCCCUGCUUUAGGGGAAAUAGUUCGGUUUAUUUAUUUAAAUAUGCUGAAAGCAACUCCCCAAAAUGCUAAUGAAUACAUCAUUACAAUAAGAGCCAAAUACUAAAUCAUUUCAAGUACAGCAAUCCAACCAAUCACUCUGUUUGAUUAUCAGAACAUUAUAACAUUUUAAAGCCAUCAUGAAAUGAACUAUUGAUCAUGAAAGCAUAUCAUUGAUCAUAUAUUACAUGGGAUGGAAUUCAGCACAGCAGUAAAACAAUUGUUCCAUCAGCACAAGCAUUUCUACUUGACAGGUAGAAUGAUCUCCCCUUCCCCUCCACCUCUACCAUGUGCUGUUCUGGGGGUUCUGCUGAGGAGAUUUGGGCAGGAUGCAGGAGGUGUGUGAGGGGAGAGGAGGGGCAAGUCCAAUUGUACUAGCAGGACUCAUUGCACUGGCUUUUGCUAGCGCAACAACUUAGCUGAUUCUGGCCCAUAGCAAUUAAUAAAUCUAUACUAUCCACUGCAUAAAGUAUUUAUAGAGGCCCUUAAAGUGCACACUUUCCAUAGCAGCUUGAUCAUACAAAGUGCUUUAAAAAUCACCUCUUUAUCAGUCCUCCAUGUAGCCAGACACAAUUCUAAAUAAAGCCCAGGACAGGUGGGCUGAUCACUGCUUCCCAUCAUGCCAAGGCUGUGGAGCUAUUUGGUGGCUCAGUUGGUUUUAUAUAUUUAUUAUGAACAUGUAUGUCCUGCCUUUCUCCCUUUGUGGGACUGAAAGGGCCAUAUAUGAGACUCCCAGGAGGUCUUCUAUCCAAGCACCUAGAAGACCCAGCACCUAUUUAGUUCCACCAAGGUAGCCACAUGUGCUUUCAGGCUAUACCUUUACGAAUGGAAAAGAGCAAUAUCUUCUAGAAACAUAGAAAAUGUGUUCACAUCACCCCAGUGAGACCUAAGUUUCUCUGGAGAUUGGAAAUAUUCUCUCCCUAUAAUGACUGUAUUCACCAAGAUAAAAAACAAACAAACUUUGGGUUAAUAAAAAAGCACACUUGAAUAUAAUGAACAAUGACAACAGUUCUGUGCCCAGGCACAGUUCACUAGAGGGAGCACUAACACUAUUUCCUUCUCGACGGCAUCAUCUUUUUACAGAAAUGGUUGAAUUGUAGGUUGAUGUGUUUUCCAUUUCUAAAAUCUAAAUGACAAUAAUAAAUGGGCUGAGAAAUCACCAUAAUAUAAUUGGGGGAAGCUGUCUCUUCAAAAGAAAAUGGAAGUAUUUUGAUAAGUGUGGUUCUAUUAAAUAGAUCCUGAUUUGUAUGCUGAGGGACCAACCUUUGUGAAGCUGACUGGUUGAUGUUUCCCUUCAUAGUUAAUCAGGGACUGGAUCAAAGUAUGCUAAAUGUUCCUUCCUGAAAGGGAAAUCUUUCUCCCCAGCCUUUGGAAGGAGACACCCUACAGGUGAGGGGAAGGGCAGGAAAGUAGUUUAGAGGUAGUUUGCAGCUUGAACUGGGAGGCAGAAAAAGAGAAUGAGCAAGCUGUGAUAUGGCCAGAGAUUAAACAUCUCAAGAAUGUGGGAGCUCUCUUAAGGAAGCCAAUGUGGGAAGGAACAGAAGCUCUUCUACCUGCCACUACGAUUCUGCAUGAGUAGUAGAUGGCAUAGAAGUGCUGCUCACUUGAUCACCCUCUGACUGAGCUGUUGCUGCUGCAAACUGGGGUGUUGAAGGGAAAGGGACGAGGUGGCUGCAAGGUUGGCACAGUGCAAACACACCAGCAAAGCCAAUCCAGUGUUCCUGCUGGCGCAUUUGCACCAUGCUGAACUCACUGUACUAUUCCAUCAAGCUGUCCACUACUGCCUGAUUAAUUUCAGCAGGGCCAGUUUGCAUAUUUGCAAAUAAAACAAAUACUGCAAGUCUUCAGUGUGCUCUCAUCUAAAGGAUACUUAACCUUUUAGUAUUACUACUGGAUUUCUCACCACUUGGGGAAAUGAAGAACAUGUGUGCUACUGGCCUUGGAUAAAUCCUAGCGACAUUCCAUAAUGUAUUUUUAUUAGGUGAAGAGCACUCAGCAAAACACUCUCUUCCUCCAGUGCUUAGAAGCAAGAAGUUUAAGAUAUCUCCUGAUGUACGAUGACCAUAAGUCCUGUUCUACCAAGGAUAGUCCUCAUUUGCAGGGUUGUCAGAGAACAACCCUCUCCUGAAGAAGUCAUCUGAAGUACUAUCCUAGAACUAUAGAAACAUAAAGUUUGAAGGGACCCUGAGGGUCAUCUCGUCCAACCCCUUCCAAUGAUGGAAUCACAGUUAAAGAAUCCCUGACAUAUGGCAAUCCAAAUACUGUUUAUCCCCUCAAAUACUUUAAAAAAAAUUUCCGGUGAAUGAGAGUCCACCACCUUCCUAGAUAGUCGGUUUCACAAUCAGAAAUAUCUUCCAAAUGUUUCGUCAGAAUCUUCUUUCUUGUAAUUUGAAUCCAUUACUCCAUCUUUCAUGUGACAGUCCUUCAGAUAUUUGAAGAUGGCUGUCAUAUCACCUCUUUUCCAGACUAAACAUACCCAGCUUCCUUCCUGCCCUAGUCCAGUGAGCAGGGGCCUCUAAUUUGCACAUCAACCUAGACAGCAGACUGAAGUCAGCUGGGCUGAAGGCAAAGAAGUCAGCUGCUCAGAGUCCUCCCCACUUUGUUGAGAUGUUUUCUAUUAAAGUUACAGGCACUAUUUCUGAAUGUGCUACAAAUAUAAAUUAGCAUAUUAAAAUUUAAUGCUGACUGGCAUCCUCCUCCUCACUGGUGGUGCCCCAACUGUGGAAUUCUCCCCCAUCUAAAAUAUGGAUGGCUCCAUCCCUUGUCACCUUUAGAUGAAAGCUGAAGAGGGCAUCUAUUCAUUUAGGCAUUUGAUGGGCAUUGGUGUCUGUUGUGAUUGUGUUUUAACUUCCUGGUUGUAAUACGAGCAGAAGCUGGUUGCUGGAUGGGACUCUGCUGCUUACCAGAUGGGAAGGAAGGAGACUGUGGGAGGUUGGCGCAGUGCAAAUGCACUACGGGGAGCACCAGAUUGACUCCACCAAUGUGUGUGUGUUUUAUGCUCGCCCGCUCUGAUAUUGUUUUGCAAUGAAGGGCAGGUAACAAAUUUGUCAGAUCAUCAGUUAAAAUUAAGCAGUUUACACAAUGAGUCUUUUAAAAGCUGGUGACAUAUUUCCAUCCCCAAGAGUCAACUUUUGUCCAUAUUUUCUUGUCCUGGAGUACCUAAGGCUGCUCCUUUUCUGCGCACCUAAUGAGUCCUUUGCAGGCUGCUGCUUUUGUGUUCUAGUGAUUCAGUCGAAGUCACUUGUGGCAUGAAAUGCCACUCAUCAUUCAUAGUGGGUGAUAUAUUUCUCUCUGUAUCUCUCUUCCUAUAUAUACUAACAGCUCUUUUGUGUAUAUAUAUUUUCUCUGGCACUUGCAAGUGUACCAGUUUCUUUCAAAACAGACCACUCAAUCAUGAAGAACGAUCUGUGUGGCACAGGAAGCACUACAUUUCUUUCUCUUUCAGUUCUUCAGAAGGGCUGGGUACCAAUUUUCCCCCAUCAGCUCCACCAGGGAAUAUGCAUUGUAUAAUGAUAUACAAAUCAAGUGAAUCUAGCCCCUUCUUUUCGGACAGCUGCUUGAAGAUAAAGUAAACCAACCCUCCAUGUAGAGAUGGCCUUUGACUGGAAAGAUGAGGCCUAAGGGAAAAGGCUGGGAGGAGAGCUGAGGGCAACAGCAAGGUGAAAGGGUUGAUGAAGAAUCUAGAAUGCCUAGGGAUGGAUGUGCAUGAUAAUCUGAAAAGGAGCUUAUUGAGGUCCAACCAGGGCUCAGUUAGAAGCAUUGAGAAGAAGUAAGGAAACAGAACCAAGGUAACUGGAUAGCGUAAUUAUUGGAACUGGGGGAGGGAAACCAGUCUGGUGUAGUGGUUAGAACAUCUGAAUAGUUUCCUCAGACAUUACUGCAUUGUCAGUGAUCUUCAGAUUACAGGCUUUCCUACCAUUCAUUGGUGCCCUUUAGUUGCUGGGUUUUGUAAAGAAGGAUCGUGGGAUCCUAAUACGACUAAAAUUAAGGGAAAGCAGAGGUUGGCCUUGCAGGUUUCAUUCAGGGUCUUCCUCACUUUACUCCCCACCCCCUGUAAAUGCAAGUCUUGGUGGUUGGGUGUCACUGAACUUGCUCUAUGAACACAUUGCAGGAGAAUUUGUGCAAUAUUUUUCUAAUUUUCUUUUUUUACAAGACUUUUACAAAGAUGCCCAGGGAAAUAUGAAAUAUUACUUUUACUGCCAGAGUGAAAUAUUCAAUAGAAGCAACUACAGCAUGAAACAAAGUGUUCUUCUGAAUACUUUUGGGAUAUAUUUUUUUUUUAAAAAGGAAAGAACCUGAGGUUGGAAUUUUUAUAUACUUUUAGCGGUUAAAAGCAAGUCAAUAUAGUUUGCUAAAGGAACAGGAGCAAACAGUCAUGAAUAAAGAGCAUGACAGCAAGUAAGAAAUCUUCUGUGACUUCUGAAUUCACCUUUAUAAAUAUUGUACAUUGUGCCACAUUCUCUGUAAUCAAAAUGGAACAAGUGUUUCCUUCCUCACCUCUCAAAUACGUACAAAACUGAAUAGACAUGAUCUGUCUGAAUAGAAUAGCUCUGAGCUCUUUUGAGAUGUUCAUCUUCUGGGGUCAACCAGUAUAGAAGAGUGGGAAGGCAAGGGUGACAGUUUUGUCUCUCAUCAUCUUUCCAUCACCCUCCAUGAAUUAAAGGGUGACUAUCUGCAGCAGGGGGCCAGCUCUACUUGUGUUUUCUCUCUGUGCAGUGUGAAAGCCUUGGAAAUUAGGGUUCUAUAUAGUGAUGGGCGGAGCCAACCAGGGGCCCACCAGUGAAUAGAGCCUUGCUGGUGGACUGCGUAUUGGCCGCAGCCACAGCGGUCAACCAGCAAUGCAUAAAAUCCAUCUGCACCUGACUCCCUCACUUUCAUGCUCCUGUAAUUGUGCAUCAUUAGCCUUUUAUUGCAUUUAAAGUCAAGGCUUUUGUUAUAAAAUUUAACCCUAUUUUGCUUCCUAGGUUCCUUGUUUAACCAUGGUUUUGCUUCCUUUAUUGCCCAACCUUGCUAUGGUGGCCAGUGGUGGCCAGGAAGGAAUUUGCCUGCAGACAAACUGGUCUGUCUGGAGGUUUUGGUUUACACAUAGCGAAACAUCACAACCUUUGGUGGUUGAGGCACUGAGUGGAAUCCUAGUCAUUAAGCUUUUGAGUGAAGUGGUGCCUCAUCCUGUCAUGAACCAGCAGUGUAGUCAGGGUACUCCUUAGAGGAAUCUCAAUGGAAGUCUCUGUCCAGAAGCCAAAUGGGGGCCAUAAAACUUCCAGUGACAGUCUUUGGAGGGCCACCUUGGUAGAUUGGCAUCACGGGGAGGCCCUAAUCCUUGGCAUCACCCUAAGUUUCAGCCCUCCAGCAGGAAGCUAGAACAGAUAUACACCAAAUGCCUGAGCCAAAAUUCUAUCUACAUCUGUAAUCAAUAAAGUUCUUGCCAUUUUUAAUCCAGCUCGGUGUCUGCUAGAGUUUCUUUAUCACACCUUAGCUAUACCUGCUGCGCAGGGAAGGGUGACACUGCAAAUAGCGAUGUAACCCAGAGGAUGAACACCAGAAUAGGGCUAGCAUCUUUCUGGUUUUUUUAUAAAGCCCCUGUUUUGUAUAUUAUAUAUAUUCUCUCUAUUAUGCUGUGCUUGAUCUAAACAUUGUUUGUUGGUUAAAUAUCAUUAUCUGCUCUUUUUGUUUGUUGAUUUUUAGGGUUGUUUACAGGAUCUUGAAAGUUAGGGCUUGCAGCACUGCAUAACAACAUGCUUUACAUGCAGAAAGUCUCAGGACCAGAGGCAGCUGGUGGAGAGGAGUUGUGCUGCACACCUAACCCCUAGUCAACCAUGUUGCUGUGCUUACUGGAAAGGAAAGGACGAGAUGGCUAGGAGGUCAGUGCAGUGGAAGCCCAGAGGCGCAAGCCGCUGAUAGGUUCUGCUGUUGUGUGUUCACUGUGCUGACCUCUCCCUCCUAAUAAGCACAGUGGUGCAGCUGACGGGUGGCUGUGUGCAUGGUAAUGUCCCUCUCUGCUCUGGCAUCUUAAAUCAAAACAAUUGAUAUAGCAGGACUUGGAGGGGGGACCCUGGUGAGAAUGAUAAUAAUAAUAAUAAUAAUAAUAAUAAUAAUAAUAAUAAUUUAUUAUUUAUACCCCGCCCAUCUGGCUGGGCUUCCCCGGCCACUCUGGGCGGCUUCCAAAAGAAUAUUAAAAUACUAUAAUACAUCAAACAUUAAAAGCUUCCCGAAACAGGGCUGCCUUCAGAUGUCUUCUAAAAGCCUGGUAGUUGUUGUUCUCUUUGACAUCUGGUGGGAGGGUGUUCCACAGGCAAGGCGCCACUACCGAGAAGGCCCUCUGCCUGGUUCCCUGUAACUUGGCUUCUCGCAGUGAGGGAACCGCCAGAAGGCCCUCGGUGCUGGACCUCAGUGUCCGGGUAGAACGAUGGGGGUGGAGACGCUCCUUCAGAUAUACUGGACCAAGGCCAUUUAAGAAUAAGAUAAGAAUUAUCUGUGACAUAUCCUUAGUCCACAGAACUACAUCUCCCAAGCUUCCCUGGGGAGAGAAAAUUAAUACUAUACUUCUUUCAGUCUUUAGUGUAUAUGUGGCCUAACUGAAAGAAGGUUCGAUUCAGUGCAUCCCUCAUUCCCUCCUCCCAGUGACAAGCAAGUACAGUGGUGCCCCGCAAGACGAAUGCCUCGCAAGACGGAAAACCCGCUAGACGAAAGGGUUUUCCGUUUUUGAGUUGCUUCGCAGGACGAAUUCCCCUAUGGGCUUGCUUCGCAAGACGAAAAUGUCUUGCGAGUCUAGAGAUUAUUUUCGCUCCCCCUUUAUCUAAUCUGCUAAGCCUUUAAUAGCCUUUAAUAGCCUUUUAGCAGCUAAUCCCCUAAGCCUUUAAGCCUUUAAUAGCCGCUAAACCGCUAAUAGCGCUAAUCCGUUAAGCCGCUAAUAGGGUUGCUUCGCAAGACGAGAAAACCGCUAGACGAAGACUCUCGCGGAACGGAUUAAUUUCGUCUUGCGAGGCACCACUGUAAUGGAAGGGCUUUGAUUCGACAAAGAGGCACAUAACAAAGGAGGAGAUGCUAUUAAUCACUGGAGAUUAUAUAAAUCCUAGAAUUCUUACAUGUGAAUGGUUUAGCAGAAAAACAUACACAGGUUUUUCAUUAGCAUUUGCUUUAUUUAUCAAAUUCCUGAAAUAAAGCCUAACAGAUGUGACUGUGUUUGCAGAUCAGGCAGCACAUAUUAAUGGGGAAAGAGACUUGAUAUUUAAUUGAAGCAUGUGGGACAACAGCAAUGACACCUGACACCUGGGGAUACCUGCCACAGUUUGGACUAUGUGCUGCCACUGAUUGUUUUCCUUUGACUUCGCUGAUGAUGAUGAUUUAUCAGAUAUUUUUCCCCAAUAUAAAGAGCAAACAAACCCACAUGCAUCAGUGUGCAGCUGAGCAAUGGAUUGAGUCCCCUUGAAUUCAGAACUGUUUUUCCUCAUAAGGCUUGCUUUCCAGACACUUGAAUCCCUCAAUGCCAAGGUUUGGGUGAAUUCAGACAGGAAGGGAAAACACACACACACACACCAAACAACACGUGUGAGGCCUUUUCCAGCACUAAUAGGGGGUAAGUGGAUCCUGUGACUCCACAGCUGAAGGAGGUCUUCAAGAUUAUAAGAGCACUCAGGUAAGUUCUGAGUGGUGCCAUUUGUCCACAGAGCAUUGUGAAAAGAUGUUAUAUGAAGCCGCCAUACACUGAAUUGAGCCAUCUUGGAAUGCAGGGAAGCUGCAUUAUAUUAGAUCAGGCUGUUUGUCCAACAGUCUGUUCUGACAAGCAAUGUCUCUCCAUCAUCUUGGGGAAGCCCUACCACCUACGACCUAUCAUUUUAAGUGGAGAUGCUAAGGACUGAAAAUCGGACAUUCUGCAUGCAAAUUAUGGGCUCUGCCACUUAGCUAGGGUCCAUCUGCAUCCAACCCAUCACCAUAUAUUCUGGCAAUGGUUGGUCACUGUGGGAUACAGGAUACUGGCCUUGGGAGGGACUUUGGCUAAUACUGCAGAGCUUCUCUUAUGUUCUUGGUACCCCUUCCCCCUCCCCCCUUUGCAUCAGGGCUUGCUGUGGUGCAAAGAAUUGGGCCACUGUCCCAUAUGGAUGGCUUUGGGGUUGUUGCUCGUCUAAUAAUCAGAAGCCAUAUUUGGAAAACCGAUGCUUUACUCCUUGCAUUGACAUAUGUUGGGAAGCAAAAACAGGCAGGACUCUUGAGUGUUGUUCAACACUAGGUGCAUGAAACCUGAAGACAUAGUAGCUCCCCCCCAGGGGAUUGACACAUUUCAGAGUAGUAGACCCAGGAGUUUCUGUGCUAGCCCCCUUGCAAGUUUUUGUUUUUCAAAAUGUUUUCAAAAGUAAAAAGUAAUAGCCAUGAUGGAAUUCUAAGAGCUUAGGUAGACAGGUAUUUUUAAAAUAGUAGACUCAAGCUUAUUGCAUCAUCAUGCUGCUAAUGCUAACUUCUUUAGCAUUUGUGUGUUGCCUGUGUGCACAAUAUACUGGAUUGUGUAUAAAAUGUACUAGUCUUUGGGGGACAGAACUAUCAGCAUUUAGAAGGGGGAAAAAACUGUUGAAAGCUACUUAGAGCCUAUAGGAUAAAGGGAUAUAAAAUACAUCUAUCUAUCAAUGAAGCUAUCAGAUAAUUAAUAUUGCGGAGAUUCUCAUUAGUAUUCUGCCAUUCAAAGUACUGUAAUAUAAAAAUUAAUAUAAAUCAAUAUAAAGAAACAAAUACAGUCUUCUGAAGCUGAAGGUUGAACAGUCCUUAGUGGGACUACUCUAAAUUAGUUGCAGCAGAUAGACAGCUACAGCUUUCAAAAUCUGCAUCCUUCUGAAAAUCCUGCAAUGCUUGGUUCCAUAUCCCAAGCAAAUGAAAACUCCCCCACUUCCCCUUUUUAAAAGUGACUUCAAGUAUAUUUAUUGCUUGGAGGUGACCAUUAAUUUUGCAUUGUGGAGCACGUUACAUUUCUCCUGUGUGCACUAUUGCUCUCAGAUCAUUUCCAGUUCUUUUGCACUCGUUCCAUUUGGUUUUGCUGUGGUCUGCAUUCCGAAGAUUAAUAAAAAAAUAUAUUCUGCUACCUCUUCAGUCUGAGCCUUCCUUCUGAAUUGAUGACCUUGAUGUAUUAGUCAAAGCUCAAAUAUAAAUCCUUUUCUUUUUUUUUGCAGAAUGGGACCUACAUGGCAUCCCUGGAUGUUCUUGUGAUAUAUAAUUUUUCCCUCCAACAAGGUGAAACUCAUGCAUAUGAAAGAGGAAUACAACAGUUCUCACCGUCUGGUAUGGAGAACCAUUUGGAGAGAGAAGACCCAAGGCAAAUGUCAAUCCUGAUGGUAAUUUCUGCUUAAGUUCUACAAGCAGAAAACAAUACAAGUGCCAAGAUUGCCAUUUAUGUGACUUCUGAGGUGGAAUAUGGAAUGACUAUGUACAUGGAAAUGAGUGGUUGAGUUCUACUGUCUUGCAUAGAGCAACUCAGCUCUGACUUGCUGAAAAUUAAUAUUUCCAUGACAGAUGGUACAUUGUUCCUCUAUUUUCCAAAACUGGAUUCAGCUCUAUGCUAGAAAUUCCUUCCAUAGAGGGUGCCCAUUGAACACUAAAUAUUACUCUGUUUCAUUUUCUGUUUGUUUCUUUUUUUACACUACACAUGCUGGGAUCUUAAAAAGUACUCCGUUGUGCAGGAAUGGCAUUUGUUUUCUCAUCACAUAAUGGGAAGCAAUUGUUAUGUUCUUAGGACUUAAAAUGAAACCGGAGAAUCAGCUUCAGAAACACAAUAACCUGGAAACUUGGGUCCUACAGACCUUUCAUUUUACAUCUUCUCCAUCAUGGGACAUCCAUGCCAGGGAAUGUUGCAGUCUCUUUGCCAAAUGGGGGUUUAUUCUGUUUGGGGCCACUCCGGCCACUGCCAUUAGGUGAGUCAGGAUGGAUUCUAGCAUGAUGAGAUUUCCUUCCAUGUCCUGACCUAUGUCCUGCCAUGGGGUGGGGAACAUGAGCAAGAAGCCACAACCUGCAUUGUAUUGCAAGGAUGGAAAGCAGGUAAGGAUGCAGUUGAAGGUGAUGAGGAGAGAGCUGUGCGACCAAGAGGCAAACCUUCCCCUUCCCUCUGUCUUUUCUCUCAUGUAUCCUGAAAUAAAGAGAACAAAAUGGGGGACAAAUCUCUUCUGCCCGGGGGCAGCACUGCAAUAAAUGCACUUCGGGACAUACUCUUUAAAAUAUAUUAGGUGUGUGCACCUAAAACUGCACUGCAGAAAUGAAGCAGCCUUCCAUUAAUGGCUCCUUUGGCCACGUCACAGCAGCUCCUUUGCCUCAGACCUUGAAGCAGGUGGGAACACCUGCCCUGAGAGGAAGCGUUUGCAGCUCAAGCUCUUUCUGAUAAGAGGGUAAGAAGAGAUUUAUAAAUGUAUUAUACAUACACAUAACAAAGUACUCCAUGAGCUGUUACUUUUAUCUUUUGUUGGACAAGUGAUCCUGACAGACAGGUCUAUUAUUCUUAUCUGAAAAUGCUUCUUCCAUUCUCACUCUCCCAACACCUCACAGUGCAGCCACAGAUUUUAAUGGAUUUGGAACUGGUAGCUGACUCAGGUCAGCUAGAAGGCCAGGAUGUCAGUGAAAAACAAGUGCAAAUGGUGGGGAGAGAAGGGGGGAAGAUAGAGAGCUGGAGAGAGAGAGAGCACAAAAAAAGACACUGGGCUCAGAUAUACAGGCAAAAGGAUCCCCCAUCACGAGCAGAGGAUGCCGACAAGUUCCUUCUAACUAUGUUGCAUUCGGCCACAAUGAAGCCUACAAAUUACAUUUGCUGUUUCACAUAAAGUCAAUUCUAAUCUUGAGCAAAAGAUGAUGCCCAACUCACCCAUGCUUGAAAUCAGCAUUUAUGUUAAAUCAUUGACUUGAGACUGUACUUCCUUCCACUGUUUGCGCUCUACUCUUGUAUAAGCAAUGAAGAUAUUAAUUAGUGCCCUUGGCAUAGCAGACCGAUCUUUAAAUGGGCACGGGGGGGGGGGAGGGGAAACAGGACUAUUUGCUGCCACCUCAUAAAAUGAUAGGGGUCACUAGUGAUGCAGGAAGACUCCCUGAGGAAGGUAUUUUUACAGUACAGCUCUUGACUGGACAUGUUGGCCUUGUAGUGCCAUCAUUGCUAAAAUAGUCUUCAGCAAAGCAACUAAACCAAAUCUCUCCCCAUCACCUUACACAGUCAAAGUUAUCGCCACAGAGAGCUAUGGAGUGGAAUGGAAGGAAACUUUGGCCAAGGAGUUUUGGCCUGUGGUUUAUUUUAUUUAUUUUUAUUUAUUGAAUUAGUUAGACGCUUUCUCUUGCCCAAGGCAACCCAACGCAACUUACAAGCAAACAGACAGAACUAUAAACAGGGCUGAGGACUUAUCCACACACCUGUUUGCCCAACCGCUUUUUCCUGGGGAAACCUGAUCUUUAGUGCUGAAUUGGAACAAGCAGCAAUCAGGUUUUCUGAAGGUUGUCAUUUGUUCCAAUUUAGCACUAAAGAAUAGGUUUCCUUGCUUCUAUAGGUAGCUAUAAAAUCAUUUCUUUCCUCUUUUGUUAAUGUUUAGAAGAAGCUGCUAUAUAGCUGUAACAUAGCAAAGCUUUCGAUUAGUUUGGACUUGUGGGAGGUCUAGGCAGUAAAUCAAAGCAGAGUUGAAAAAUGAUUAACAUUAUUGCUAGCUUUGCAUGCCAUACUUACCAUUUGUAAUAGUAAUUUUAUCUGUUGCUUCAAUAUUUUCAAUAUUUUCCUUCUAAUUAAUUAAGCUUAAUUAAUCCCAGUUUACCAUGCUGUAGUCUUGGCAUAGAUUAGCUACUCCAAUUUGUGGUUUAAGAUUGCAUAUUCAUAUUCUAUUUUGUUUUUCCAUGUGAUCCUUGUAAUUUAUUUUCCUAGCACAUAAUGUUUCUUAUAUCUUCCCAUUUCCUAAGAUUCACUUCUCCAUAAUGUGGCUUUGGAUUUACUUUUGAUAUCCUCUGUGCUUUAACUUUCAAAACGCAUUUACUGGUUUUCUGCUAAAUAAAUUCAU